CCUACGGGUGGCAGCAGUGAGGAAUAUUGGUCAAUGGACGAGAGUCUGAACCAGCCAAGUAGCGUGAAGGAUGACUGCCCUAUGGGUUGUAACCUUCUUUUAUAUGGGAAUAAAAUGUUCCACGUGUGGGAUUUUGUAUGUACCAUAUGAAUAAGGAUCGGCUAACUCCGUGCCAGCAGCCGCGGUAAUACGGAGGAUCCGAGCGUUAUCCGGAUUUAUUGGGUUUAAAGGGAGCGUAGGUGGAUUGUUAAGUCAGUUGUGAAAGUUUGCGGCUCAACCGUAAAAUUGCAGUUGAAACUGGCAGUCUUGAGUACAGUAGAGGUGGGCGGAAUUCGUGGUGUAGCGGUGAAAUGCUUAGAUAUCACGAAGAACUCCGAUUGCGAAGGCAGCCUACUAAACUGCCACUGACAUUGAUGCUCGAAAGUGUGGGUAUCAAACAGGAUUAGAUACCCUUGUAGUC
rnacentral:rRNA from 1 species